AAGCGUUGUUCGGAAUUACUGGGCGUAAAGGGCGCGUAGGCGGCCUUCUAAGUCAGACGUGAAAUCCCUCGGCUCAACCGAGGAACUGCGUCUGAUACUGGAAGGCUUGAAUCCGGGAGAGGGAUGUGGAAUUCCAGGUGUAGCGGUGAAAUGCGUAGAUCUCUGGAGGAACACCGGUGGCGAAGGCGGCAUCCUGGACCGGUAUUGACGUUGAGGCGCGAAAGCUAGGGGAGCAAACGGG
rnacentral:rRNA from 1 species